UUGCAACAGUGGCACAGAAAAAUGAAGGCCACAGAUAUGUGCAUGAGGUUCAUGAAUCAAUGGGGCUCUCACCAGGCAAUUUUACCAUAAAGCGUGCUACCUUCAUGGAUAAGAUCAGAAGAAAGUACAGUAAAUUACAGAAGACGAGGAAAUAUAAAAGGAGAAGAAUUGAGCUUAAGUCGGAGAAAUGUAACAGCAAUGGUAUAGCAGAAGUUCUAGAGGGAACAACUUAUGAAACCAAUAUUGCUCGUCAGUCAGAUAUUGUACAGAUAGCAGCUUUAACUGAGAAUGAAACUUUCUCAGCCUAUGUUAUGCCAUCAAAGAAGAUAACACCACAGGCAUCUGAUAUAACAAAACUUGCAUUCUUUGAUGGGCAAAUGUAAUAUGAUGAAGUUCCUGUGGAAAGUUCACCACCAUUUGAAGUCUUUACUAAUCUUAUUGCUUUUUUGUCCAAGUUUCCUUCUAAACCAACACUUGUUGGACACAAUAUAAAAACGUUUGACUGCCAUAUACUGUAUAAUCAAUUGAAUAAAUUGAAGAUGUGGGAUGAAUUUUGCCUGUAUUUUAAUGGGUUCAUUGACACAAGAAUAUUGUUUAGGAGUGAAUAUCCAGGUCGUCAAAGUUACAAGCAGUGUGAUUUAGUGUCAGAUUUUUUAGGGGAAAGCUAUGAUGCACAUAAUGCUUUGUAUGACUGUAAAUCUUUAUUUAAACUGGUGCGAUCACAUGGAAAUUUAGCUUCUCAUUUCUGUUAGUAUACAUUUGAUGGAAUGUACCCAAAAUAUUGCCAAAAUGACUUAUCUUUCAAAGCUCUUGUUGAAAAUAAAGUAAUGUCAAAACAAUUAGCCAAAAAGGCAGCUUCAACUGGGUUGUGCAAGAAGCAUUUUAUUUUGUCAAUUCAAAGAAAUGGUAUUGAUGGACUGAGGGCACUUUUGUCUCAAAAAAAUAGUUCAGGUGUAGUACGUGUUACAACAUCAAAAUCUAUCAUUCAGAAGGUGUAUGAUUGUUUUGUUAUAUGAAAUGAAGAGUAAAUUGUUUUAGAUUCCAUAUGAAUCUGAUUAUAUAUACAUUGUAGAAUUUAAAUGGAACAAUUAUGGUGAAUGCUACUAGAGAUUAACGGAAAUUUUAAUCUACAGACAUACUUGCUUCUGUGACCAAGCUUCUAUUAUAUCUAUUAGCAAUAAUUGUUAUUAUCAAAGAAACCUAUUUCUUAGGAUGCUAAAUCUUUGACCUUAUGGAGAAUCAGGUCAAUAUAUAUAAUAUAAAGAUUUAAAUACUACAUUGCACCAUAAAUGUUAAAGUUAAUAUUUGUUUGUGAGCUAAAUUUUUGGAUAAGAGAUUAGAAAAUUUUGACUGGUCCUGUAGUCUACUACGCAUACCUUAUUUUUUAGCAAUUUGAUUGAUCCGUCCAUGCUGAAUGUCAGGAAAUAGAAUUUAAGUAGUAAAAUUUUUUAUAAAAUUUUAUAAUGUUGUCUAUAGUUCUUUAAUUGUAUGAAGGAUUUAAAGUCAAAGAUGACAUUUUGUUUUACCACAGUAAGAAUGAUCAUAUUGUGUACCACACAUAUGUUGUGUGAUCCAUAUUAGUGAAUGUAAUUUGUUAGACUUGAAAAAGACCACUUAAACUUAUAUCUACCUGAUAUAUAGUUUAUAACAUGUUUAUAGUUUGUACUGUCAUUGUAUAAUAUCACUACUUAUUUAAGGAUUUGUGAGCUGUUGCCAUCAGUUUGUGUCAAUUUUUGUCUUCUGUUCACAUUUCAUAUCUUAAUUUAGGAGGCAAAUUUCAAUUAAUUAAAAAUGGAAUAUUCUAUCUUGUUACGACACUUGUUGGUAAAAUUUUAUCCAAAAUUAACAUGAUUAUUAACGAAAUUUGUAAAAUAGAUAUUUUUUCAGAAUGAUACUAUUAAAUAAUGACUUGUGAGAAUGAUUUGUUAUAAAAAAAAUGUUUUAAAGAAAAUUUAUAGAAAAAUUAUAUGAGAAAAUACAUGUUCAUGUGAGUAUCUGGUUUGUUAUUUGACCAAGCUUGUACAUGAAGGGUUAUGAUGUAGUACUGUUCUUGCAUAUAUGUCUGUUAAUAUGUGCUGGAAUUUAUUUUGCCUUUUGUCAUUUUAUCAAAUAAAGAAUUCAAACACUAUGCAAAGAUCAAUAAGAGUUGAUGUGGUUUAAAUUUUAUACAGGUUGCAAAUAUUUUUCUUUUCAUUAACAAGUUUUGUCAGAUUUAUCUUGACUGAUGGUUUUUAAAUUUACUGUUCCUACUGACAUUUUAGUUUUCAAUAUGUAAUACAAUAAGUGUUUGUAACAACUGUGAUAAAAAAAAUUACGUGACAGAUAAUGAAAAUUGCAAAUGUUAAUUUGGAUUCAAACAUUAUAUAUUCAUAUAUAUAUAUAUAUAUAUAUAUAUAUAUAUAUAUAUUUACAAUAUGAUACAUAAUGGACUAAAUUACCAGUCUAUUAAUUAAUAAAAAUUGCUUAUAGUUCA